rnacentral:rRNA from 1 species
UACGUAGGUCCCGAGCGUUGUCCGGAUUUAUUGGGCGUAAAGCGAGCGCAGGUGGUUUAUUAAGUCUGGUGUAAAAGGCAGUGGCUCAACCAUUGUAUGCAUUGGAAACUGGUAGACUUGAGUGCAGGAGAGGAGAGUGGAAUUCCAUGUGUAGCGGUGAAAUGCGUAUAUAUAUGGAGGAACACCGGUGGCGAAAGCGGCUCUCUGGCCUGUAACUGACACUGAGGCUCGAAAGCGUGGGGAGCAAACAGG